rnacentral:rRNA from 1 species
GACGAACGCUGGCGGCGUGCUUAACACAUGCAAGUCGAACGGAAAGGCCCUGCUUGCAGGGUACUCGAGUGGCGAACGGUGAGUAACACGUGGGUGAUCUGCCCUGCACUUCGGGAUAAGCCUGGGAAACUGGGUCUAAUACCGGAUAGGAGCCAUUUUUAGUGUGAUGGUUGGAAAGUUUUUUCGGUGUAGGAUGAGCUCGCGGCCUAUCAGCUUGUUGGUGGGUAAUGGCCUACCAAGGCGGCGACGGGUAGCCGGCCUGAGAGGGUGGACGGCCACAUUGGGACUGAGAUACGGCCCAGACUCCUACGGGAGGCAGCAGUGGGAAUAUUGCACAAUGGGCGCAAGCCUGAUGCAGCGACGCCGC